GCUUAGAAGCAGCCACUCAUUUAAAGAGUGCGUAAUAGCUCACUGGUCGAGUGAUUGUGCGCCGAAAAUGUACCGGGGCUAAACUGUGUACCGAAGUCUAGGGAUCGUGAUAAACGAUCGGUAGGGGAGCAACGUGUGCGGGCUGAAGCCGAAGCGGAAGCGACGGUGGACUGCACGGGAGAGAGAAUGCCGGCAUGAGUAGCGAGAGCAAAGUGAGAAUCUUUGCCGUCGAAAGCCUAAGGUUUCCUGAGGAAGGCUCGUCCUCUCAGGGUAAGUCAGGACCUAAGCCGAGGACAAAAGUCGUAGGCGAUGGACAACUGGUUGAUAUUCCAGUACCACCUUUAGCGUUUGACUGAAGCAGUGACACAGAAGGAUAGACAGAGCGCGUGACUGGUAGAGCGCGUCCAAGCGAUGAGGGAGUUGAUUAGUGAAGUACGGUCAACAAUCCUGGGUCGUGAUGGGGACUGAAAAUAAGUAGGGAAGCUGUUGAAUUCACGCUGGCGAGAAAAGCUGCUAAGGAGCGAAAGGGUGCCUGUACCGCAAACCGACACAGGUAGGCGAGGAGAGAAUCCUAAGACGAGCGGGAGAACCCUUGUUAAGGAACUCGGCAAAAUGACUCCGUAACUUAGGGAGAAGGAGUGCCUCGAGAGAGGCCGCAGAGAAUAGGCCCAAGCGACUGUUUACCAAAAACACAGGUCUGUGCGAAGUAGAGAUACGACGUAUACGGGCUGACGCCUGCCCAGUGCCGGAAGGUUAAGGGGAAGUGUUAGGGCAACCGAAGCACGGAACUUAAGCCCCGGUGAACGGCGGCCGUAACUAUAACGGUCCUAAGGUAGCGAAAUUCCUUGUCGGGUAAGUUCCGACCCGCACGAAUGGCGUAACGACUUGGGCACUGUCUCAACAAGGGACCCGGCGAAAUUGUAGUAUGUGUGAAGAUGCACAUUACCCGCGAUAGGACGGAAAGACCCCGUAGAGCUUUACUGUAGUUUAACAUUGGAUUUCGGUAACAUAUGUACAGGAUAGGUGGGAGGCGAAGAACCAGGGACGCCAGUUUCUGGGGAGCCGACCUUGGGAUACCACUCUUGUGUUAUUGGAGUUCUAACGAAUUGCCGUGAACCGGGAUUCGGACAGUGUUAGAUGGGCAGUUUGACUGGGGCGGUCGCCUCCCAAAGAGUAACGGAGGCGUCCAAAGGUUCCCUCAGAAUGGUUGGAAACCAUUCGCAGAGUGUAAAGGCAGAAGGGAGCUUGACUGCGAGACCGACAGGUCGAGCAGGUGCGAAAGCAGGGCUUAGUGAUCCGGCGGUAUGAGAGUGGAAUUGCCGUCGCUCAACGGAUAAAAGCUACCUCGGGGAUAACAGGCUUAUCUCCCCCAAGAGUCCACAUCGACGGGGAGGUUUGGCACCUCGAUGUCGGCUCGUCGCAUCCUGGGGCUGGAGCAGGUCCCAAG
rnacentral:rRNA from 1 species